UGGGGAAUCUUAGACAAUGGGGGCAACCCUGAUCUAGCCAUGCCGCGUGAGUGAUGAAGGCCUUAGGGUCGUAAAGCUCUUUCGCCUGUGAUGAUAAUGACAGUAGCAGGUAAAGAAACCCCGGCUAACUCCGUGCCAGCAGCCGCGGUAAUACGGAGGGGGUUAGCGUUGUUCGGAAUUACUGGGCGUAAAGCGCGCGUAGGCGGAUUAGAAAGUUGGGGGUGAAAUCCCGGGGCUCAACCCCGGAACUGCCUCCAAAACUGCUAGUCUAGAGUUCGAGAGAGGUGAGUGGAAUUCCGAGUGUAGAGGUGAAAUUCGUAGAUAUUCGGAGGAACACCAGUGGCGAAGGCGGCUCACUGGCUCGAUACUGACGCUGAGGUGCGAAAGUGUGGGGAGCAAACAGGAUUAGAUACCCUGGUAGUCCACACCGUAAACGAUGAAUGCCAGUCGUCGGAUAGUAUACUAUUCGGUGACACACCUAAC
rnacentral:rRNA from 1 species